AAUGAACGCUGGCGGCAUGCCUAAUACAUGCAAGUCGAACGAGAUCUUCGGAUCUAGUGGCGCACGGGUGCGUAACGCGUGGGAAUCUGCCCUUGGGUUCGGAAUAACUUCUGGAAACGGAAGCUAAUACCGGAUGAUGACGUAAGUCCAAAGAUUUAUCGCCCAAGGAUGAGCCCGCGUAGGAUUAGCUAGUUGGUGGGGUAAAGGCCCACCAAGGCGACGAUCCUUAGCUGGUCUGAGAGGAUGAUCAGCCACACUGGGACUGAGACACGGCCCAGACUCCUACGGGAGGCAGCAGUAGGGAAUAUUGGACAAUGGGGGAAACCCUGAUCCAGCAAUGCCGCGUGAGUGAUGAAGGCCUUAGGGUUGUAAAGCUCUUUUACCCGGGAUGAUAAUGACAGUACCGGGAGAAUAAGCUCCGGCUAACUCCGUG
rnacentral:rRNA from 1 species